rnacentral:rRNA from 1 species
GGGUGACAGGUGGUGCAUGGUUGUCGUCAGCUCGUGUCGUGAGAUGUUGGGUUAAGUCCCGCAACGAGCGCAACCCUCGACCUUAGUUGCCAGCAUUCAGUUGGGCACUCUAAGGUGACUGCCGGCUAAAAGUCGGAGGAAGGUGGGGAUGACGUCAAAUCAUCAUGCCCCUUAUGACCUGGGCUACACACGUGCUACAAUGGGCGGUACAAAGGGUCGCGAACCCGCGAGGGGGAGCCAAUCCCAAAAAGCCGCUCUCAGUUCGGAUUGCAGGCUGCAACUCGCCUGCAUGAAGCCGGAAUCGCCAGUAAUCGCGGAUCAGCAUGCCGCGGUGAAUACGUUCCCGGGCCUU